rnacentral:tRNA from 3 species
GGGGUGUUAGCUCAGCUGGUUAGAGCGCUGGCCUGUCAAGCCAGAGGUCGUGGGUUCAAGUCCCAUACAUCCCGCCA